rnacentral:rRNA from 1 species
CACCAAUUCAUUGAUUUUGUGAAGAAACAUCUACAUGAGAAAUUCUUGAUGACUGAUUUGGGUUCUCUUCGCUACUUUCUUGGACUUGAGAUCAUUUCUUCCCCUGAGGGUAUUUAUCUCUCUCAAGAGAAGUACAUCCAAGAUCUUCUCACUCGUGCCUGCCUCACUGAUCAGCGCACGAUUGACACUCCUAUGGAGUUUGGUCUCCAUCUUCGUCCUGGUGAGGGUGAACCCCUUGCAGAUCCCACACGCUACCGCCAUCUUGUUGGGAGCCUUGUCUAUCUAGGCAUCACUCGUCCUGACAUUUCUUAUGCUGUGCACAUUCUAAGUCAGUUUGUCUCUGCUCCCACUCAACUUCAC